AAGAAAAUCAUCAAGAUCUAGAAAAUGGAGAAGGCAACAAACAUUUUGUUCUCUCUUACUUUCUUGUUCAUUUUGUUAGGUUCACCAUCAUAUAUGAUAUUAGGCCAAAUUCAAAAGUGUAAAGUCCAACAAGAUUGUGAUCUUGGAAUCUCUUGCAAACAUGGAAUUCUACAAUGUGUUGAAGGAUUUUGCAUGUGUGAUAAUGAGCCACCAAUGUACCUAGCAAGUGAUGCUUCUUUAAGGAAGAAUACUCAAGUUAAUCAUUGCACAAAGGAUAGUGAUUGUGCAAAUAAAUGUCCUCCCAUAUGUCCUGCAAGUUGUUUCAAUGGAGUUUGCUUUUGUAGUGGUAGUGAGUGUUGAGGCCAAAAUUGAGUCAUGAAAUAUAUAUAAUAGAACAAUUUAUCUCAA